AUUGAACGCUGGCGGCAUGCUUUACACAUGCAAGUCGGACGGCAGCACAGAGAAGCUUGCUUCUUGGGUGGCGAGUGGCGAACGGGUGAGUAACAUAUCGGAACGUACCGAGUAGUGGGGGAUAACUGAUCGAAAGAUCAGCUAAUACCGCAUACGUCUUGAGAGGGAAAGCAGGGGACCUUCGGGCCUUGCGCUAUUCGAGCGGCCGAUAUCUGAUUAGCUAGUUGGUGGGGUAAAGGCCUACCAAGGCGACGAUCAGUAGCGGGUCUGAGAGGAUGAUCCGCCACACUGGGACUGAGACACGGCCCAGACUCCUACGGGAGGCAGCAGUGGGGAAUUUUGGACAAUGGGCGCAAGCCUGAUCCAGCCAUGCCGCGUGUCUGAAGAAGGCCUUCGGGUUGUAAAGGACUUUUGUCAGGGAAGAAAAGGCUGUUGCUAAUAUCAGCGGCUGAUGACGGUACCUGAAGAAUAAGCACCGGCUAACUACGUGCCAGCAGCCGCGGUAAUACGUAGGGUGCGAGCGUUAAUCGGAAUUACUGGGCGUAAAGCGAGCGCAGACGGUUACUUAAGCAGGAUGUGAAAUCCCCGGGCUCAACCUGGGAACUGCGUUCUGAACUGGGUGACUAGAGUGUGUCAGAGGGAGGUAGAAUUCCACGUGUAGCAGUGAAAUGCGUAGAGAUGUGGAGGAAUACCGAUGGCGAAGGCAGCCUCCUGGGAUAACACUGACGUUCAUGCUCGAAAGCGUGGGUAGCAAACAGG
rnacentral:rRNA from 1 species